rnacentral:rRNA from 1 species
AGCGAACGCUGGCGGCAGGCUUAACACAUGCAAGUCGAGCGGGCACUUUCGGGUGUCCGCGGCGGACGGGUGAGUAACGCGUGGGAACGUGCCCUCUGGUUCGGAAUAACUCAGGGAAACUUGAGCUAAUACCGGAUACGCCCUUUUGGGGAAAGGCUUGCUGCCGGAGGAUCGGCCCGCGUCUGAUUAGCUAGUUGGUGAGGUAACGGCUCACCAAGGCGACGAUCAGUAGCUGGUCUGAGAGGAUGAUCAGCCACACUGGGACUGAGACACGGCCCAGACUCCUACGGGAGGCAGCAGUGGGGAAUAUUGGACAGUGGGCGCAAGCCUGAUCCAGCCAUGCCGCGUGAGUGAUGAAGGCCUUAGGGUUGUAAAGCUCUUUUAUCCGGGACGAUAAUGACGGUACCGGAGGAAUAAGCCCCGGCUAACUUCGUG